UGGUCGCGGUCUACCAUGCAGUCGAGCGGUACAGGAGAAGCUUGCUUUCUUGCUGACGAGCGGCGGACGGGUGAGUAAUGUAUGGGGAUCUGCCCGAUAGAGGGGGAUAACUACUGGAAACGGUGGCUAAUACCGCAUAAUGUCUACGGACCAAAGCAGGGGCUCUUCGGACCUUGCACUAUCGGAUGAACCCAUAUGGGAUUAGCUAGUAGGUGGGGUAAAGGCUCACCUAGGCGACGAUCUCUAGCUGGUCUGAGAGGAUGAUCAGCCACACUGGGACUGAGACACGGCCCAGACUCCUACGGGAGGCAGCAGUGGGGAAUAUUGCACAAUGGGCGCAAGCCUGAUGCAGCCAUGCCGCGUGUAUGAAGAAGGCCUUAGGGUUGUAAAGUACUUUCAGCGGGGAGGAAGGUGAUAAGGUUAAUACCCUUAUCAAUUGACGUUACCCGCAGAAGAAGCACCGGCUAACUCCUGCCA
rnacentral:rRNA from 1 species